rnacentral:misc_RNA from 1 species
AAAAGCGCAUUUGAUUAUCUAACUAAUUAUCCUCUUUUUUUGUUAACGGUUAAAAUCAAAAUUGGGUCUCUUCCUCCACAAAGGUAUUCGAGCAGAAAAUUGUUGAUCUUAUCAACAGUCUUGUGAUAUAAAUUAUACAUGAAUUUGAGCAAGGAGUACUCCACUCAUUUGAAUGAUCCCCAAUACAUAUCAUUACUCGUACUAAGACUUACAUACAAAGUCUUCCUUUUCAAGAUCCGGGAAAUUCCGGGGCCUAGAUAAGACUUUGUAAUACCCUUUCACCUUUUUAAUUGACAUAGACCCCAGUUUUCUAAUAAAAUGAGUAGAUGAUGCGUA